GGGCGCAAGCCUGAUGCAGCCAUGCCGCGUGUAUGAAGAAGGCCUUCGGGUUGUAAAGUACUUUCAGCAGUGAGGAAGGUGGAUAUGUUAAUAGCAUAUUCAUUUGACGUUAGCUGCAGAAGAAGCACCGGCUAACUCCGUGCCAGCAGCCGCGGUAAUACGGAGGGUGCGAGCGUUAAUCGGAAUUACUGGGCGUAAAGCGCAUGCAGGUGGUUUGUUAAGUCAGAUGUGAAAGCCCGGGGCUCAACCUCGGAAUUGCAUUUGAAACUGGCAAACUAGAGUACUGUAGAGGGGGUAGAAUUUCAGGUGUAGCGGUGAAAUGCGUAGAGAUCUGAAGGAAUACCGGUGGCGAAGGCGGCCCCCUGGACAGAUACUGACACUCAGAUGCGAAAGCGUGGGGAGCCAAACAGGAUUAGAUACCCCUGGUAG
rnacentral:rRNA from 1 species